UCCAAAGUAAUAAAGGUCAGAUUUGGUAGA
rnacentral:piRNA from 1 species